rnacentral:tRNA from 2 species
GGAGAGUUACCCAAGAGGCCGAAGGGGACGGUUUGCUAAACCGUUAGUACGCGUAAGCGUAGCGAGGGUUCGAAUCCCUCACUCUCCGCCA